rnacentral:rRNA from 1 species
GAACGCUGGCGGCGUGGAUAAGGCAUGCAAGUCGAACGGGUUGUAGCAAUACAACUAGUGGCGAACGAGUUAGUAAUACGCAGAUAAUCAACCCCAAAAUUGGGCAUAAUUCAUCGAAAGGUGAACUAAUUCCCAAUAGCCCCAAGGCAGCAAUGUUUUGGGUAAAGGAGCAAUCCGUUUUGGGAUGGGUCUGCGGCCUAUCAGCUUGUUGGUGAGGUAAUGGCUCACCAAGGCUAUGACGGGUAGGGGGCGUGAGAGCGUGUUCCCCAACGAUGGCACUGAGACACGGGCCAUACUCCUACGGGAGGCUGCAGUCGAGAAUCUUCCACAAUGGGCGAAAGCCUGAUGGAGCGACGCCGCGUGCGGGAAGAAGACCUUAGGGUUGUAAACCGCUUUUAUGGGGGUGAAGUUAUUGACAGUACCCCAUGAAUAAGAAGGGGCUAAUCACGUGCCAGCCGCCGCGGUAAUACA